UACGUAGGGGGCAAGCGUUGUCCGGAAUUAUUGGGCGUAAAGAGCGAGUAGGCGGUCCGGUAAGUCAGCUGUGAAAGUCAAGGGCUCAACCCUUGAAAGCCGGUUGAUACUGUCGGGCUAGAGUCCGGAAGAGGCGAGUGGAAUUCCCGGUGUAGCGGUGAAAUGCGCAGAUAUCGGGAGGAACACCAAUGGCGAAGGCAGCUCGCUGGGACGGUACUGACGCUGAGGCGCGAAAGCGUGGGGAGCAAGCAGG
rnacentral:rRNA from 1 species